GACUACUGAAAUACUCAACAUUCACACAAGCAAUACGUCUCCUGCAAGAAAUCAUUCAAUCCAUUUUGAAUGUCAACUGCUAGGAUUUAUACCGGACUCCUCAGAUCAGCCGUAACCACCGUGUUUACGACCACAUUUUAAAGAUGCUGCACCUAAGACUCGGUCGAAAUUACGCCGCACGUGUACGCAACGCUCCAGCACUUCCUUUCAUACGCAGCCUUCCUUCCUUUCUCAGUUCUGUGAAAAUAAAAGCACCAAUAUA